rnacentral:rRNA from 1 species
GACGAACGCUGGCGGCGUGCCUAAUACAUGCAAGUCGAGCGGACGAAUCGAAAGCUUGCUCUUGAUUCGUUAGCGGCGGACGGGUGAGUAACACGUGGGUAACCUGCCCUGUAGACGGGGAUAACACCGAGAAAUCGGUGCUAAUACCGGAUAACACGUAAUGUCGCAUGACGUUUCGUUGAAAGACGGCGCAAGCUGUCGCUAUAGGAUGGGCCCGCGGCGCAUUAGCUAGUUGGUGAGGUAACGGCUCACCAAGGCGACGAUGCGUAGCCGACCUGAGAGGGUGAUCGGCCACACUGGAACUGAGACACGGCCCAGACUCCUACGGGAGGCAGCAGUAGGGAAUCUUCCGCAAUGGACGAAAGUCUGACGGAGCAACGCCGCGUGAGCGAAGAAGGCCUUCGGGUCGUAAAGCUCUGUUGUUAGGGAAGAACAAGUAACGCAGUAACUGGCGUUACCGUGACGGUACCUAACGAGAAAGCCACGGCUAACUACGUG